rnacentral:rRNA from 1 species
UACGUAGGGGGCAAGCGUUGUCCGGAUUUAUUGGGCGUAAAGAGCGUGUAGGCGGCCUGAAAGGUCAGCUGUGAAAACUCGAGGCUCAACCUCGAGACGUCGGUUGAAACCAUCUGGCUAGAGUCCGGAAGAGGAGUGUGGAAUUCCCGGUGUAGCGGUGAAAUGCGCAGAUAUCGGGAAGAACACCCGUGGCGAAGGCGGUUCUCUGGGACGGUACUGACGCUGAGACGCGAAAGCGUGGGGAGCGAACAGG